GCUUCUGGGCCUUUGUCUGGGUGCUCCCAGCCUUUCAAGCCCCAAGUUAACAAACGUCUCAUGUCGAUUUCUGCUGGGUCCUGGUGUGUUCCACUUUCUACAGUUGGUGCGCUUCCUCCUCCUCCUCCUCCUGAGGAACCCUUUGGAUGUCACCUCCCCCAGGAAGCUUUCUUUGACCACCCUGUGCAACUAUCUUGAGCACCUGUCGUCACAGGCCCAGGGAGUAAGCUGCUCAUGAAAAUAAAAACAGAAUGACUACAGAAAACACUUGUUGAUCCACAUGCAAAAGGAGGUGAAAUUCUGAACAAUAACAGCUCCAACCUUUGCAGAGAUUCCUCUCAAAUAUAUGGCAGUUAUUUGUUGUGCGUUGAUGUCUGUCGCCUCAGGAGCGCGCAGGAAAGGCAACGGGAAGUUCUGUGAGCGACAGGCGCUUGCAAACCUCAGAGCUAUUCCUGCUGCAAGAGGCCGGGUUAUGAGUAACUGAAGUCUGGUGCUGGCGAGAACUGAAGUGGGAGUUCGCACCCCUGCUGCCCACUAAGGGCUCUUCAAGGCUGAGAAAAUGAAGUCUCAGAGAUAACAAGUUAGACCCACAGGUGUUUUAAUUAAACACAGCAUAGUUGUGUUGUG